rnacentral:rRNA from 1 species
UACGGGGGGGGCAAGCGUUGUUCGGAAUUACUGGGCGUAAAGGGCUCGUAGGCGGCCAACUAAGUCAGACGUGAAAUCCCUCGGCUUAACCGGGGAACUGCGUCUGAUACUGGAUGGCUUGAGUUUGGGAGAGGGACGCGGAAUUCCCGGUGUAGCGGUGGAAUGCGCAGAUAUCAGGAGGAACACCGGUGGCGAAGGCGGGAUCCUGGGCCAGUACUGACGCUGAGGAGCGAAAGCGUGGGGAGCAAACAGG